rnacentral:rRNA from 1 species
CUAGCUGUAAACGAUGGAUACUAGGCGUUGAGAGUAUCGACCCUCUCAGUGUCGUAGCUAACGCGUUAAGUAUCCCGCCUGGGGAGUACGCGCGCAAGCGUGAAACUCAAAGGAAUUGACGGGGGCCCGCACGAGCGGUGGAGUAUGUGGUUUAAUUCGAUGCAACGCGAAGAACCUUACCAGGGCUUGACAUGUCCGGAACCCUGCCCAAAGGCGGGGGUGCCUACGGGAACCGGAACACAGGUGGUGC